CCUACGGGCGGCAGCAGUGAGGAAUAUUGGUCAAUGGACGAGAGUCUGAACCAGCCAAGUAGCGUGAAGGAUGACUGCCCUAUGGGUUGUAAACUUCUUUUAUAUGGGAAUAAAACGUUCCACGUGUGGGAUUUUGUAUGUACCAUAUGAAUAAGGAUCGGCUAACUCCGUGCCAGCAGCCGCGGUAAUACGGAGGAUCCGAGCGUUAUCCGGAUUUAUUGGGUUUAAAGGGAGCGUAGGUGGAUUGUUAAGUCAGUUGUGAAAGUUUGCGGCUCAACCGUAAAAUUGCAGUUGAAACUGGCAGUCUUGAGGACAGUAGAGGUGGGCGGAAUUCGUGGUGUAGCGGUGAAAUGCUUAGAUAUCACGAAGAACUCCGAUUGCGAAGGCAGUUCACUGGACUGCAACUGACACUGAGGCUCGAAAGUGUGGGUAUCAAACAGGAUUAGAUACCCGUGUAGUC
rnacentral:rRNA from 1 species